GUGGGGAAUAUUGGACAAUGGGCGCAAGCCUGAUCCAGCCAUGCCGCGUGAGUGAUGAAGGCCUUAGGGUUGUAAAGCUCUUUCAGUGGGGACGAUAAUGACGGUACCCACAGAAGAAGCCCCGGCUAACUUCGUGCCAGCAGCCGCGGUAAUACGAAGGGGGCUAGCGUUGUUCGGAUUUACUGGGCGUAAAGCGCACGUAGGCGGAUCGUUAAGUCGGGGGUGAAAUCCUGGAGCUCAACUCCAGAACUGCCUUCGAGACUGGCGAUCUUGAGUGCGGAAGAGGUGAGUGGAACUCCUAGUGUAGAGGUGGAAUUCGUAGAUAUUAGGAAGAACACCAGUGGCGAAGGCGGCUCACUGGUCCGGUACUGACGCUGAGGUGCGAAAGCGUGGGGAGCAAACAGGAUUAUAAACCCUGGUAGUCC
rnacentral:rRNA from 1 species